UCUAUUAUUUCUCCUCUGUCGGAACCACCAAACAGAAAAACUCUUUUCUUCUCAUGAACCUUCUUCAUCUCUCCUAAUCGAUCUUCUCAUGAACCUAAAGAUCGGAUAAUUUUUAUCAGAGAUGAUGAUUCUAAGCUUGAUAAAUCAACAACCCUCUUCAGUUUAAUUAUCAUCGCAAUCAGAAAUCCCUAACUUUAUCUCUCGAAGAUCAAAAGCUAUAAACCUAAUUUUUUUCAGUUUCAUACUUGUCACCACUAUCAUUAUAGUAACAUAAAACAUUAGUGAAGAGCAAAAGAAAUCAACGAAGAUGUUUUGAUUAGAUGUCACUCUUCAAUUAGGAAUUAUCGGCAAUUCUGAGUUCACUUCUUAUAUCUUUUGUGAAUUUUUUAACCCUAGUAUGCAUUUAGGCAUCACGAAUAAUUGGGGAUUUUGUUGUGUGCAGAUUUGGGUUUGAUGUUAAAGUUGUUUCUUACAAGCUCCUAAAGAGUUGAAGAAAGUCCUCUUAGUUCUGAUUUCGUCUUCAGACAGGAGUGCAGAUCAUACAAAAUGGAUAGGGGAGUUCCAUAGGAAACAGGACUUCAUUGAUGUUGUUGAGGCAAUAUUUAGGGGGGCUAUGAAAGGUAAACUGAUUGUGAGUUGCCCUCUUCCACCUGAAAGAAUACCUAGAAUCACUUAAUAAAAUGCAAAUAUUAGCUGUCAAGAUUUGAACAAAGAAAAAAAAAGAACGAGUGGUUAUUGCUAAUUCAGAAGCUUGCUCAGUUACUCACAUAUCCCACAGGUUGUAAUUUCUCUUCAUGUACUUAUUACCAUAUCUUCAAUCCUGUACCCAGUUUGUAUGAUUCUCAAGUGAGUGUACUUAAUGCAUUUCGACUUAAUCCUCACAUUCGUUGGAUACAUUUUUUUUUUGUUUUAUUAAUUUGAUGGUUUUACGGUUGUAUGUAAGAGACCCCUGUUUGAGCUAUUUAGCUUUUGUGCAUGUUUGAUUCAGCAGUUGUGUCUGGUGUAACACUAAUGCUUUUUGCUAGUGUUGUGUGGUUGAAGUUGGCACAUACAAAUUAUGGUGCGAGGGCGCUUUCCAAGUCCACUGACCAGAUCUUUUCUGCACAGGUGGACCAUACAAUACUUUCUAUUUUCAGCUGGAAAAGCACCUGAGCCAAGUUUGUGUCGAUACAACUACAAACAAAUGGAACGAAACGCUUGUUCUGAAUGUGGUGGAUUUAAACGAUUCAUUAUCUCAUCCGGCAGGGGUCUCUGAUGUUCAAGUUGAGUCUGCUAUGUGCUUAGAUCCUGAUCAUUUUGCCAACUUCUUGGUGAAAAUAUGGGCAAAGCUACUGAAUGCCUUUUGUACUGAAAACUGGACUUUGAAUUACUCUACAAAGUAUAAAUCCAACGUUAUAAAGACACCAAGUUGAUGAAGUUAUUCCCUGAAAUUGUUCGAAACAUCUCUGACCAGGACGUGCUUGCAGAAGAUAGGAUUCUUCAAUGAUUCCACAAAGGAUUUAACCCCAGGGGAAGAUGAGAAGUUGAGAUAUCACUUGCUGGAAAACUCACAAGCUUUGUUUAAAUUUCUUGCAUCCUUAGCCACUUCAUUGGUUUCAAUGUCAUUGAUUAGGUUUCCGUUGUUGCAGGCAAGGCUUUGAACUCAUUUGUUAAUUGGCUGGAGGAGGCAGGAGAUGGUGCUGACCAUGGAGGUUACUAUUGAAUCCUAGCAUCCAUCUCUCAUCUAAUGUAUUAUGCAUCUGAUUGUGGAGAGCCUCAAAUAAUAGGUUGCAAACAAGGUACUGAGUAAUAUCUAUCUUGAUUUAUUAGUUUCAUAAUAGUGAUAUUCCACUUAAAAUUAUUAAUGGUUGCCUAAGUUGUAGGAUUACUAGAAAUUUUCCCACUGAAAUAACUACAUUGCAGGCUCAAUUUUAUGAGUGUCUGAAAUCAAGGAAUUUGUAUGUAAGUCCAAAGAUAAUUAGUUCUAAAUUUUCUGAGAAUGUCCAUUUGUGGGGUAUUUUUAAUCUUUAGUGCUUGUUGUUCCAUGCUGGACUUGUAGUCUUUUGACCCUUCCAUACAUCUAGAAUUCGGAGUUUACUUUUUCUGUUACGUGCCAACUUAAGUGCCAACUGAAUCCUUUUUUGUGUAACUUUUUUUUGCUUCGGGCGCACCCUUUUGAAGUGUUAGUUCAACAGCAGGCAGUCUAUCAUUUUAUUAGUUUGCACUUAUGUUUCAGACACUUUGAACUUACUGGGGCUAGUUGCUCUUCUCUUUAAGAAACCUUGAACUUAUUAGGAUUUGUAUUUGUGUGAAUUCCAAAUUGAAAUCGUUUUUGUAUGAUUUUGAAUCCAAGUGUAAACUGAAUUCAGUUAUAAAUUGUGUAAUGAAUACAUUAACUGAUUAAUGGAAUGUCAUGUUAAAUUUA